rnacentral:rRNA from 1 species
ACGAACGCUGGCGGCGUGCUUAACCCAUGCAAGUCGAACGGAAAGGCCCUGCUUUUGUGGGGUGCUCGAGUGGCGAACGGGUGAGUAACACGUGAGUAACCUGCCCUUGACUUUGGGAUAACUUCAGGAAACUGGGGCUAAUACCGGAUAGGAGCUCCUGCUGCAUGGUGGGGGUUGGAAAGUUUCGGCGGUUGAGGAUGGACUCGCGGCUUAUCAGCUUGUUGGUGGGGUAGUGGCUUACCAAGGCUUUGACGGGUAGCCGGCCUGAGAGGGUGACCGGCCACAUUGGGACUGAGAUACGGCCCAGACUCCUACGGGAGGCAGCAGUGGGGAAUAUUGCACAAUGGGCGGAAACCUGAUGCAGCAACGCCGCGUGCGGGAUGACGGCCUUCGGGUUGUAAACCGCUUUCGCCUGUGACGAAGCGUGAGUGACGGUAAUGGGUAAAGAAGCACCGGCUAACUACGUG